UUUAUUUGUCUUACGACUUUUUCCGUUUUGAGCGUUCCGUGAAUUUUUGAAAAUCCAAUGUUGAGUUGACCACGUAUUUGUGUCGGGUAUAGACAUUUCUUUUAUCAGAUAUUUAUCAUCCGAUCGUAAAACACACUGAAUAUCUAAAAUAGCGAAGACAUUGUUGAGCACGUCUUUCUCACACGAUGGAUCUGUUUGAACUGAAUUUAGGUGAUAGAUUCGUUGGUAGGAGUAAUAUGACUACUACUUUAUUUAUUUAUUUAUUGUGGAAUACGCUGCAUACUAUGGAUAUGGUAUUUUGAUUGGCGCUUCAAUAUUUUUAAUUUUUAUCACGAUUUCAUCAGAUUUUUUGUUGAGAGCGANUAAUUUUCUUUCUUGUAUUUCCACCCACUCGGUUAAUUAGUUUUCUUGUAUUUUCAUCCACUCGGUUAUUUUCACUAUUUCUUCUAAUGUAUUAAUUGUUGCUAUGAGACCAUCGAUCAUCUUAUUUCUUUCACCCUCUAAAGUACUACCAAACACGUCCAUGGUCAAAGUAUGACUAGUGUCAUUUUUUCAAAACACUUGCAUUUAUCC